UACGUAGGGGGCAAGCGUUGUCCGGAUUUAUUGGGCGUAAAGAGCGUGUAGGCGGCCAGGUAGGUCCGUUGUGAAAACUCGAGGCUCAACCUCGAGACGCCGAUGGAAACCAUCUGGCUAGAGUCCGGAAGAGGAGAGUGGAAUUCCUGGUGUAGCGGUGAAAUGCGUAGAUAUCUGGAGGAACACCGGUGGCGAAGGCGGCAUCCUGGACCAUUACUGACACUGAGAAGCGAAAGCCAGGGGAGCAAACGGG
rnacentral:rRNA from 1 species